CCCAGCUAGAAACACCACAUGCUGCCUUCUCUCUGCCCUUUCCUCUCACUCGGACCGGAAUUUCCAUCAUUAGACUCCCUAAUGUACUGGGGGUUGGGAUGAGACUCUGGAAAAUGGUCAUGAGCCAGAAGAGCCCAGGUAGACUUCAGUGGGGGAACCAUUGUGUGGCUGUUAAAAAUGCCAUGAAAUGCUCUGCUCUCUUCUCUUUUCCUUGCUGUCCGCGGGGCUGGAGCAGUGCAGGCCCUGCGGGGACUCCCACCUCCUUCCAAAGGGUGCGCCCCGGGGGGGACCCGUAAAGGAGAGUAUUAUUUGUAAUAGCAGAAGUCUGGAAACAACCUGAACAUCCAUCCGUAAGAGACUGGUUAAGUAACUUUUCAACAAUAGAAUGCUAUACGGCAAUGAAAGUGGACCACAGCUACAUGCAACAAGAAUGUUUACAUUAUGAUUCUCUUCAUAUAAAGGUUAAAAUCUGUUAAGGUAAAAGCUAAACUAUAUUGUUAGAGAUGUUUACUCAAGUGGGAAAUCUGUAAGGAAAACAGGGAAAUAAUUACUGGCAAAGUUAGGAUAGUCUUCCUUCUAGAGAGAGGCAGAACAUUUGGGGAAGCUUCUGAAGUGCUGGCAAUGUUCUAUUUCUUGACCUAGGUGAUGGUUAUGUAUGUGUAUACUUUAUAAUUAUCUUUUAAAUUGUACACAAAUGUUUCCUGCAGUUUUUUGAAUGAAUGAGGUCUCUCAUGAUGUGACGCUACCACAGUUUACCCAAACCAUAGAAUACUAUAUAGUCAUUAAAAAGAGCAAGACGGCUCUAUAUGCAUGGGCAUGGAAUGGAUUUAGUGGAGAAAAAACAACCAAAGUGAAGCAUGAUGUGUUAAGGGCGCUGCUUGCUGUGUGAAAUUUAAAAAAGAAUAUAUCUGCCUCUAUGCUUCUGUCUGCUAGACUUCCUCUAGAAAAAAUAUCCAAGAAUCAGCUAACAGGGAACGGGACCAUUUCCCUUUUUGUUACCUUUUGAAUUUCAUACCAUGUGUUUCUAUUACCUAUUGAAAAAUUAACAUAGUUUGAAAAACCGUUUCAGGGAUUUCCCUGGUGGUCCAGUGGUUAAGAGUCUACCUUCCAAUGCAGGGGACACAAGUUCGAUCCCCGGUUGGGGAGCUAAGAUCCUGCAUGAUGCCGUGGGGCAGCUGAGCCUGCACAGCGCAACUAGAGUCCACAUGCCUCAACAGAGACCCAGCACGGCCAAAGAUAAAUAACGAAUAAAAAGAUAAAAAUAAAAAACAGCUUUGCCUCUCAUUCCCUGAAGCACCUAAGUGUUUUUCUUUAAAUCUCAAACCAAUUUCUUGCCCACAAAAACUCGAGCCACGGGGUCUACAAGACGCUCCUGGUGACUUCCAGCAAAACUGCGGACCCUGACCCUCUGUGCUCGGGCCUGCAGCCUCCCAGGACCCACCGUGCUCUCCGCUCUCGCCCUCCUGUGUCCUGCCCUCCCACCGCCCCACCCCGCUCUUUCUCGACUCACUUCUCUCUGCCCCCUUCUUUGGCUCUUUCUCCUGUUUUUCUGCCUUCCUCUUCUUCCCCAGUCCUGACCGCCUUGGCCCCUCUGUGUCCCCCCGGCCCCCUGUCUGCUCCGCACUGGUUCCUCGUCCUUCUGCCUCCUUUCCCUGCCCUGGGAUCCCA